rnacentral:rRNA from 1 species
GACGAACGCUGGCGGCGUGCUUAACACAUGCAAGUCGAACGGAGAGGCCCUGCUUUUGUGGGGUGCUCGAGUUGCGAACGGGUCAGUAACACGUGAGUAACCUGACCUUCCCCCUGGGAUAACUUCAGGAAACUGGGGCUAAUCCAGGAUAGGAUCUUCUGCUGCUUGGGGGGGGUUGGACUGUUUCGGCGGUUGGUGCUGGACUCGCGGCGUACCAGCUUGUUGGUCGGGUAGUUGCUUACAAAGGCUUUGACGGGUAGCCGGCCUGAGAGGGUGACCGGCCACGUUGGGACUGAGAUGCGGGGCAGACUCGUGCGGUAGGCAACAGUGGGGGAAAGUGCGCUGUGGGCGGGCGGCGGAUGCGGUAGCGCCGCGUGGGGUGUGACGGCCUUCGGGUUGUAAACCGCGUUUGCCUGUGAUGUGGGGUGGUUGACGGUAAUUGGUAAAGAAGCACCGGCUAACUACGUG